GUGCAGCAGCCGCGGUAAUACCGGCAGCACGAGUGAUGGCCGCUUUUAUUGGGCCUAAAGCGUUCGUAGCCGGCCAGGCAAGUCCGUCGGGAAAUCUACCCGCUUAACGGGUAGGCGUCCGGCGGAAACUGCCUGGCUUGGGGCCGGAAGAUCCAAGGGGUACGUCCGGGGUAGGAGUGAAAUCCCGUAAUCCUGGACGGACCACCGAUGGCGAAAGCACCUUGGAAAGACGGACCCGACGGUGAGGGACGAAAGCUAGGGUCUCGAACCGGAUUAGAAACCCGUGUAGUCC
rnacentral:rRNA from 1 species